CAAGAAGGGAUUUGGGAAAUUAUAGUAUAUAUCACCAUCACUUUUCCCUCAUUUUCUCCUAACUUCCAACACACCAAAAAUCCUUCUCUUUCCCCCUCUUAUAAUCGGCAGCCCCAAAACACCCCUACUUCCUCUUUUUCUAACAACUAAACACUCCAUUUUUACUUAUAAAAUACCAAUACAAGAAGGUUUGAGGUGCUUUCAAACUUGGAGAGUCAUUAGGGACACUUUGGAGCUUCAUUAUCUUCUCUAAUAUUCAUCUUAAGCUUGUGCAAAAUUGUUGACUCGCGUUUACAGAACACGUUGCUAAAAUAUCUCUCUCAGGAACGCAAAACAGAAACUAAUGGGAUCUUGGUGCUGGUGUUUAAUAUGAAGCUUUUAGAUUACAAGUCAUCGAUGUCAUCCUUUUAGGAGGGUAUAGUCCAUAUAUCUCAUCUUCAAUGAGAUAGAGGAUGCAAAGCCUUAUGUUUUAAUCUUAUGUCAACAAGUCCUUUUGUAAACUUAAAACUUAUGUUGGUUUGUAUCCUAAACAACUUAUGAUGUGUAAUAUUUUAUUAUGUUAAUGGAUGAA